rnacentral:lncRNA from 1 species
AAAUGAUUAGGAAUAGAGAAAACAGUGACAUAAUUCUGCCCGAUGAAGGCUAAGUGUAUCAACUUAAAAUUUUGAUAGGACAAAAUAUAGAUUUUUAAAAAUUAGAUAGAAAAAGCAAAAAAGCGACUAUUUACAUAAGUGUUUUGUGUAUUUUAGCCAAAAAAAAAAAGAGAGGCUGUUAAUUAAAAGAAAAUUCGUUUGUAAAUGAAAUCAAAAAAUGGAGAGAGAGAGAGAGAGAGAGAGAGAGAGAGAUAAU